UACGUAGGCAGCGAGCGUUGUUCGGAAUUACUGGGCGUAAAGAGUGUGUAGGCGGUGCUCUAAGUUCGGUGUGAAAUCUCCUGGCUCAACUGGGAGGGUGCGCCGGAAACUGGAGUGCUUGAGCGUGGGAGAGGAAAGCGGAAUUCCAGGUGUAGCGGUGAAAUGCGUAGAUAUCUGGAGGAACACCGGUGGCGAAGGCGGCAUCCUGGACCGACACUGACGCUGAGGAGCGAAAGCCAGGGGAGCAAACGGG
rnacentral:rRNA from 1 species